rnacentral:rRNA from 2 species
UAGGGAAUCUUCCGCAAUGGGCGAAAGCCUGACGGAGCAAUGCCGCGUGAGUGAUGAAGGUCUUCGGAUCGUAAAACUCUGUUAUUAGGGAAGAACAAAUGUGUAAGUAACUAUGCACGUCUUGACGGUACCUAAUCAGAAAGCCACGGCUAACUACGUGCCAGCAGCCGCGGUAAUACGUAGGUGGCAAGCGUUAUCCGGAAUUAUUGGGCGUAAAGCGCGCGUAGGCGGUUUUUUAAGUCUGAUGUGAAAGCCCACGGCUCAACCGUGGAGGGUCAUUGGAAACUGGAAAACUUGAGUGCAGAAGAGGAAAGUGGAAUUCCAUGUGUAGCGGUGAAAUGCGCAGAGAUAUGGAGGAACACCAGUGGCGAAGGCGACUUUCUGGUCUGUAACUGACGCUGAUGUGCGAAAGCGUGGGGAUCAAACAGG